CAGUAGCCACGGGAAUACAGAGGGUGCGAGCGUUAAUCGGAUUUACUGGGCGUAAAGCGUGCGUAGGCGGCUUCUUAAGUCGGAUGUGAAAUCCCUGAGCUUAACUUAGGAAUUGCAUUCGAUACUGGGAAGCUAGAGUAUGGGAGAGGAUGGUAGAAUUCCAGGUGUAGCGGUGAAAUGCGUAGAGAUCUGGAGGAAUACCGAUGGCGAAGGCAGCCAUCUGGCCUAAUACUGACGCUGAGGUACGAAAGCAUGGGGAGCAAACAGGAUUAGAUACCCCCGUAGUCCCUGUCUCUUAUAA
rnacentral:rRNA from 1 species